GAGGGGACAGUGGUCCGUGCCUGGCCGGCAUCUGAGAGCAGAGCUCGUGUCGGCUGUGCGUACCUGCGACCCAGCCUUCCAGUGUGCGCACCGGCGUCCGCCGCGGGCCAGCACCCUCCGUGCUCCCGGGCGGGGAACAGCGAGGGGCACCACCGAGCACGGGCCUGCUGCGUGCUCAGGUUGUUGCCAGCGGUCGGGCCCGUAACGCCAAAGAGGGCUUUGAGCUUUACGCGUUUGGGAACUGCUCAGGGCCGAACUGCGUUCUGAGUUCAACGGGAGCUUCGCUGUCCUGCUCGGCGCCUGUCAGCGCUGGGAACGGACUGGAAUUUAAAUUCCUUGGAAUUCCCAGAAUAAAAGAAGCGUCACUAAGCUACCAUGUACUUAGUUCCCUUUGAGAGCUCAGUCCUAGCUGUGAUUAGAAGAUACGCAACGAGGCCCCAGCGCGGUGAGCGGCAGACCCAAGAGAAGUAGACUAGAUCACCAUGGUAUGAAGGUGUAUCUAAGCUCUUCCUGCAGAACCCAGUGCUUUCCUGUUGACUGCCUGAGCCCUGUCCACAGAGGGAAUGAAAAGGCCCCUCAGGUGCCUGCUGAAGACUCCUGGGCCCACAGGAAGCCUCUUGGUGAUGUUCUCCUGGGAGAUCAGGGGUGGUCAUGGGCAGCAGCCAGGAUGGAGACCUCCCUCAUCCUGAGGCAUCUCCUGGCAACCCCUCUGACCCUUUGGGCUCAGAAAAGGAAGCGGGUUCCUGAGCUGUUUACAUGCUCAUUUCUUAAAAUCACUGUUGUCAUCAAGUUAUAAACAAGAUUUAUAACUAGUGUCAGUCUGGAGCUCAGACAGCUUGAGUGGUUCCCUGCCCUGACAUGCAAGACACACACUGGCAGGUCAG